UACGUAGGGUGCAAGCGUUGUCCGGAAUUAUUGGGCGUAAAGAGCUCGUAGGCGGUCUGUCACGUCGGCUGUGAAAUCCCGAGGCUCAACCUCGGGUCUGCAGUCGAUACGGGCAAACUAGAGUAUUGCAGGGGAGACUGGAAUUCCUGGUGUAGCGGUGAAAUGCGCAGAUAUCAGGAGGAACACCGGUGGCGAAGGCGGGUCUCUGGGCAGUAACUGACGCUGGAGGAGCGAAAGCGUGGGGAGCGAACAGG
rnacentral:rRNA from 1 species